GAUGAACGCUGGCGGCGUGCCUAAUACAUGCAAGUCGAGCGAACAGACGAGGAGCUUGCUCCUCUGACGUUAGCGGCGGACGGGUGAGUAACACGUGGAUAACCUACCUAUAAGACUGGGAUAACUUCGGGAAACCGGAGCUAAUACCGGAUAACAUGUUGAACCGCAUGGUUCAACAGUGAAAGACGGUCUUGCUGUCACUUAUAGAUGGAUCCGCGCCGCAUUAGCUAGUUGGUAAGGUAACGGCUUACCAAGGCAACGAUGCGUAGCCGACCUGAGAGGGUGGUCCGCCACACUUGGACUGGGAACCGGUCCAGACUCCUACGGGGGGCAGCAGUAGGGAAUCUUCCGCAAUGGGCGAAAGCCUGACGGAGCCACGCCGCGUGAGUGAAGAAGGUCUUCGGAUCGUAAAACUCUGUUAUUAGGGAAGAACAAAUGUGUAAGUAACUAUGCACGUCUUGACCGUACCUAAUCAGAAAGCCACGGCUAACUACGGGC
rnacentral:rRNA from 1 species